rnacentral:tRNA from 1 species
GCGGGUAUAGCUCAGUGGUAGAGCACAUGCUUAGCAUGCACGAGGUCCUGGGUUCAAUCCCCAGUGCCUCCA